rfam:Mangrovibacter sp. MFB070 Contig-015, whole genome shotgun sequence.
AGCAAAUGGUGGCGCACUUCCUGAUUACGGGCGGUGUAAUACAGUUUGCUUCUGGCAAAACAGAUACCACAGCCCGCACUAAGCGGGUUUUUUUUU